rnacentral:rRNA from 1 species
CUCAGGACGAACGCUGGCGGCGUGCUUAACACAUGCAAGUCGAACGAUGAAGCUGGAGCUUGCUCCGGUGGAUUAGUGGCGAACGGGUGAGUAACACGUGAGCAAUCUGCCCUUGACUCUGGGAUAACUGCGGGAAACUGUAGCUAAUACCGGAUACGACCCUUGGAGGCAUCUCUGGGGGUGGAAAGAAUUUCGGUCAAGGAUGAGCUCGCGGCCUAUCAGCUAGUUGGUGAGGUAAUGGCUCACCAAGGCGACGACGGGUAGCCGGCCUGAGAGGGUGACCGGCCACACUGGGACUGAGACACGGCCCAGACUCCUACGGGAGGCAGCAGUGGGGAAUAUUGGGCAAUGGAGGAAACUCUGACCCAGCGACGCCGCGUGAGGGAUGAAGGCCUUCGGGUUGUAAACCUCUUUCAGUAGGGAAGAAGCGAAAGUGACGGUACCUACAGAAGAAGCACCGGCUAACUAUGUG